UCCAUUUACAUCAUGUCCGGCAAGUAUUUUAAGCAGUAUAAAUUCAAAAAAAUAUAAAACCUUGGAAACCUAGCUUUGUUUGUGCAAGAGAUCAUGUGUGCCAAAUUUUGGGUGAUUUGGAGGUGGUCGAAAAAAUCACCGCAUUCCGGAGGGACCAUUUGAUCUAACUUAAGCCAUUUUUUGAACAAAUGUGCUUUUUUCCACCACCUCCAAAUCACCCAAUUUCUCUAUGACACGGUGACCCACAUGUGCCAAACAUGUCCAUGAAAGAAAAUUUGGAAAAAUAUAUUUUACAAUGCCCCCUUGAGGUAUAGACCGAUGUUUUGAUCAGUCAGUCUAGAGGGUAGUAUAAAUUCAAAAAAAAUCAAAAAAAUAUAAAACCUUGGAAACCUAGUUUUGUUUGUGCAAGAGAUCAUGUGUGGCAAAAUUGAGGUGAUUUUGAGGUGGUCGAAAAAAUCACCGCAUUCCGGAGGGACCGUUUGGUAAGCCAUUUUUUGAACAAGGGUGAUUUUUUCCACCACCUCCAAAUCACCCAAUUUCUCUAUGACACGGUGACCCACAUGUGCCAAACAUGUCCAUGAAAGAAAAUUUGGAAAAAAUAUAUUUUACAAUGCCCCCUUGAGGUAUAGACCAAUGUUUUGAUCAGUCAGUCUAGAGGGCAGUAUAAAUUCAAAAAAA
rnacentral:lncRNA from 1 species